GCUGGCUGGGGAGGAGGCCGUGGAAAAGAAUUAAACAUGUAUUGCAUCGUCCAAAUGAUUGGGAGGGGUAAAUAUGCUUAAUAGCUGCUGGUGCUGAAAGGAGGAGUAUCGCUUUAGGCUAAUCUGAAGUGCUAGGGUACUAAGAUGCCAUUAAGGAACUGAAAAUGUAACCCCUACUGAUAAGACAACAUUCCUGGUGCUGAGAACUACGGACUGAGGAUUAAUGACCCCAAUGGAAAGUGCUAGCUUUGCUGCUCUGGUCACCUAACAGUGGACAGGGAAAAAACUCAAUCUGUGGCAGGGAACAUUUGUGCAUCAGUGGGGAGAUGCUCAACGACCAUGAAAGCUAACAUGAGAAAGACAAGUUUGCUAUGACCCUUGUGGAAGGAAUCUUGCCCAUCUUUGCUCUUGGAGGAAAGAAGAAAUUGGUAAUCCUGGUUUCUGCACAAUGGGUUAACGUUUCUUCCAAAGAUCAGACAAGAUCAAGAUCAUGAACAAAUCUGACUGGAAUGACUGGAAUCUGCUGAGACUAAGACAUCUGAGUGGACUACAGUUUUUUUUGUCCCUGUUUUGUGAACUUUCUUUACACACUAAACAAAACCCAGUGCAUUUGUGGAAGUAUUCUGCCUGGACCAAUGAAAGCCCAAGAGAAGCAAACUUCAGCUGACAGUACUCCAGCUGCUUUCCUGAAAGUGGAAAAUUUGCCUCUCCAGACAUGAAGAACUCAUUACACAAACAGAAGCUAAUGGUGUGGGUGAGAAGCUGAUGAGGGUUAUGGAUGGCCCAACCAUCAAUUCCAUCUGGUUUGCUAUCUUUGCCUUCAGGAAGAUGGGGAGAACUGUUAGUAUGUCAAAUUGAACAGCUAACCAUUUUCCACUGUGCAGAGUGAAAAGAGAAGGGUCCUAAAAAAGAAACCUAAUACUCCACAAAAGAAGAGUUUGGACCAUCUUGCUACUCUGGUACAGAAAGCAAAUAACAUUGAAAAAAAAAUAGCUAUGCAGCAUCCUGAAAGUCAAUGAAGACUAAAAAUCCAUCCCUCACACCAUGAUAAACUUCACCGUGAUGUCUCAGAUGCUCAACUAUUAUCCCCAACAGGAAGAGCAGCCUUGACUACUUCGUCUGUCAGGAAUAGCCUCUGAGUUCCUGAAGUCAGCCUGAGUAUCAGUGGGAGUGACAGGAUGCCAACAGUUACAGCUAGCGAGGUGAAUAAACUGAUACCCAUAUUCCGAGGGAUCUACCCUGUGCAAAUGGAGUGGUUUGAGAACAAGAUAAACUCUUCAAGCAAGGUGACUCAUAACCUUGUCCACUGGAGCACCCGAACCCAGCACCGAUUAGAGAUAAGGUACUAACAUAGUGAGACAAGUGGUCUGCUCAGGUGUGGCAACCCUGCUGCACACGGGCUCAUGCCCACAUAGCACUGGGUUUUUGGACAUCUGCAAGACACUCUGCUCAUGCUACAUCUGAACACAUGGGGCCCAGUCUGAAUCCUACCACCAGUGGAAAGAGUCCCAUUGGCGAGCUGGCCUCAGCCUUAAAAAGUCACAUCUGUUUCUCAAGGUAGCCCUGCAUCAGGGUGGAUCAUUCAACCUGCACUGCAGAAUGGCUUCUUCACAUCUCCCCACUAAUUCCCCAGCUUCCACGGCAUACCGUGUGUGCAAGGCCGCCUUUUGCUUGUUAUAUUUUAGGCUCAAGAAUGCACCUUCUUUACAAGGAAAGAAUUAAAGCACUGUAAGUGAUUGGGGCCUAAAAGGAAAGUGAGACUUACAGGUACCUGACUUGAUAGACUCAGGUUUGCAGCAG